GGGGAUGUAGCUCAGUUGGCUAGAGCGCUUGACUGGCAGUCAAGAGGUCGUGAGUUCGAAUCUCAUCUUCUCCA
rnacentral:tRNA from 5 species